rnacentral:tRNA from 1 species
GAGGGUAUAUCUCUGUGGUAGAGUGCAUGCUUAGCAUGCAGGAGGUCCUGGAUUCAAUCCCCAGUACCCCUC